rnacentral:rRNA from 1 species
UCACGCCCCGGGUGCGUCGCAGCCCCGGAACCAGGCGCCCGCCGGAGGAACCAACCAAACUCUUUCUGUAGUCCCCUCGCGGACGUUAUUUCUUACAGCUCUGAGCAAAAAUUCAAAAUGAAUCAAAACUUUCAACAACGGAUCUCUUGGUUCUGGCAUCGAUGAAGAACGCAGCGAAAUGCGAUAAGUAAUGUGAAUUGCAGAAUUCAGUGAAUCAUCGAAUCUUUGAACGCACAUUGSGCCCGCCAGUAUUCUGGCGGGCAUGCCUGUCCGARCGUCAUUUCAACCCUCGAACCCCUCCGGGGGAUCGGCGUUGGGGAUCGGGACCCCUCACACGGGUGCCGGCCCCUAAAUACAGUGGCGGUCUCGCCGCAGCCUCUCCUGCGCAGUAGUUUGCACAACUCGCACCGGGAGCGCGGCGCGUCCACGUCCGUAAAACACCCAACUUUCUGAAAUGUUGACCUCGGAUCAGGUAGGAAUACC